rnacentral:rRNA from 1 species
GUGCCAGCAGCCGCGGUAAUACGAAGGGUGCAAGCGUUAGUCGGAAUUACUGGGCGUAAAGCGUGCGUAGGCGGUUUCUUAAGUCCGUUGUGAAAGCCCUGGGCUCAACCUGGGAACUGCAGUGGAUACUGAGAGGCUAGAGUGUGUCAGAGGAUGGUGGAAUUCCCGGUGUAGCGGUGAAAUGCGUAGAGAUCGGGAGGAACAUCAGUGGCGAAGGCGGCCAUCUGGGACAACACUGACGCUGAGGCACGAAAGCGUGGGGAGCAAACAGGAUUAGAUACCCUGGUAGUCC